rnacentral:misc_RNA from 1 species
GGUUUACGAAAAAGUGUGUUAAUAGGAAUGAUUGGCACAUGCGCAGGCUCAUGGUUGAAAUUAGGCUCAGUCAGCCAGGAUCGCUUCUGGGUGGCUUUCGUGGGUCAAUCCAUCGUAGCUUUCUGUCAAAUUUUCGUGCUUUCAGUGCCGGCUCGAGUAGCUGCAGUUUGGUUUGGCCCAUCCGAAGUGUCUUCGGCUUGCAGCAUCGGAGUGUUCGGAAAUCAGUUAGGAGUCGCUUUGGGAUUUUUUAUUCCACCACUUCUUGUUCCCGCAGAAAAAUCCAUGGAUGAAACCUCCCAAAAUCUGUACAUCUUCUAUGGAUCCCUUGCAGUAAUUUCUACAGGGAUUUUGUUGUUAGUUUUGUUCUUUUUCAAAGACGCACCUCCUACUCCUCCUUCGUACGCCGUAGCUCAGCAAGAUUCUACAGGCAGUUUCAAAGAAUUCGUAACAUCUUUGAAAAACCUUUUGAGAAACAGAUCAUUCAUGCUUCUGUUGAGCGCAUACGGUAUCAACACUGGUGUUUUCUACGCCAUUUCAACGCUACUCAAUCAGAUCAUCCUACAUUACUACCCGGACGGAAACGAAGAUGCAGGUCGAAUAGGUUUGGCCAUUGUUGUGGCCGGAAUGAUGGGAUCUGUUUGUUGUGGAGUCAUCUUGGAUAGAUAUCACAAGUUCAAGGAAACUACCCUUGUCGUAUAUGCCUUGGCACUGAUAGGGAUGGUUCUCUUCACCUUCACAAUAUCUACUGGACUAUAUGUGGUUUACAUUAUUUCAUUUCUAUUGGGAUUCUUCAUGACCGGACUGCUCCCUGUCGGUUUCGAACUAGCAGCCGAGCUGACCUACCCAGAACCCGAAGGCACUUCGGCAGGCCUGCUCAACGCGGCGGCCAAUCUAUGUGGCAUCAUUUUCACCAAUUUCUACUCUGCUAUUUUCUAUCACGUCGACGUCGUGUGGGCCAACAUAUCCAUGAGCUUGAUGUUGGUUGUAGGGACAAUUCUUCUGGCAUGCACCAGCCCAGAUUUGAAGAGGCAGGCUGCGCAAGGCGAGAAAAAUGGCGUACCGUGAAGGAACACUUAGGAAAUUGGUCUACUUAUUAUUUACUGCUUGAGGUUCAACCUUAGAAGUUGGAAGUGAUUCGACAAGCUACUCAAUUAAGAAAGUUGCUGGCCAGCUAGUGCCGUGUGAUCCAACGGGUUCUUACGAUCAUCCUCCUGGAACCAGAAAUCUCUCUACAAGCCGCUACUAGAGCCGACAUACACUCAGGUGAGAACCACAGCCACGUAAUCUCUCUCGCUCUUUUUUUUUGUCUCCAGAACAAAAUUCUAUCGGGAACUUUCUCAAAUCAUACAAUCCUGUGUUAUACUACAGUCCACUUAUCUAAUGAAGCUACAGGUUCCAAACAGGGCAUCAUAAGAUACAGGGUGUUAAAAUGAAAAUAAAAAAAGUUAUUCGUAAAUAUCCUUCACCUAAUUUUGUUGUAAUUGUCAGUGGUAUUUAUAUUAUUAAGGAGCUAAUUUAGCCCGAACGUCCAGUGGCGUCUCGAGCGGGAUUUGAACGAAUAUUUUUGACUUAAAAAUGUACGCCACCGACUUUUGUGCAGUUUUCAUUGUUGUAUUUGGUUUAGCAAUUAGAAAUACAACUUUUUUGUCUCUUGAAUUUUAUUCUUAUCUUGCUUA